AUUGUAUGUAUUCUAAUCUUUUUCAUUGCCAUUAUUCUGCAGCUUGAUUGCAAAAAGUAUAAACCAGAGCAGCAGCAGCAGCAGCAACAACAAGCUCCAAUACUGUGUACCCUGCAAAGUGACCCAGUCUGUGGAACUGAUGGCAAGACUUAUGGCAAUGAAUGUUCACUGUGUGCUAAAAUCCUAGGAGGAGCCAAAAUAGACUUGGCCCACAAAGGAGAAUGCGUUGACUGCAGUAAGUUUCCAGAACCACCAAAGGGCAAAGGGGCACCCUGUCCUCUACUAUAUGCACCUGUAUGCGGCACUGAUGGCAACACUUAUGACAACACAUGCCUCUUGUGUGCAAAAAUUCGGUCAUCUGGAAAACUGAUUGGCAUUAAAAAAAGAGGACCCUGCAAAUAAAAGGCAAAUUUACAGGAGACCAGAGGCUAAGCACAAUGGAUCAUCCUGAAAGAAGAAAACAUUCUUUAUAAAAAUGUGGGCCCAAAUUUUGAAUCUUCAAAUUCCUUGGUUCCAAAUAUGUGAUCUUGCCUCAAUAAAAUGAAUUAAAACUUA